rnacentral:rRNA from 1 species
AUGGAGAAACAAAACAUGCUCAAAGGAAUCUUUUUCAGAAAUCAAGGAGCCCCUCAAUUAUCCCCGUCGUCGUCCCCGUCACCGACCCCCUCCGACCUCGAGAUGAGACCUGCUGAAUCUCCAUGUAUAUCUUGUGUUGCUCAAAUAGGAUAUGUGGUUGCCCAAGUGGCCGGUCAUGUUCAGAUUACACCUUCGAGUGGCCUAUGUUUUGCCGGAGUGUUGAUUAAUUUCCGUUUCGGCAAAUUUCAGGCGCUCGAUAUGUCCUUUUAUAGUAAAGGUCAUGCUGGAUUUUUUCGUGAAUUCUGGCAUGACUUGUGCUAG